UGUGCUCUGCAGUGUGAGGUAGUUGGUUGUAUGGUUUCGCAUAAUAAACAGCACGGAGAUAACUGUACAACCUUCUAGCUUUCCCUGCGGAGUCAC
ensembl:miRNA